rnacentral:misc_RNA from 1 species
UACAGAGGGUGCGAGCGUUGUCCGGAUUUAUUGGGUUUAAAGGGUGCGUAGGCGGCCUUUUAAGUCAGCGGUGAAAGUUUAGGGCUCAACCCUGAAAUUGCCGUUGAUACUGUAAGGCUUGAGUGUCGAUGGGGUACUUGGAAUUGAUGGUGUAGCGGUGAAAUGCAUAGAUACCAUCAGGAACACCGAUAGCGUAGGCAUUGUACUUACCGGAAACUGACGCUGAGGCACGAAAGCGUGGGUAGCAAACAGG